UCCCUGGUGGUCAAAUGACUAAGACUCUGUGCUCCUGAUGCAGGAGGCUUGGGUUCAAUCCCUGAUAAGGGAA
rnacentral:tRNA from 1 species